rnacentral:rRNA from 1 species
GAGUUUGAUCCUGGCUCAGGACGAACGCUGGCGGCGUGCUUAACACAUGCAAGUCGAACGGUAAGGCCCCUUUUUUGGGGUGUACGAGUGGCGAACGGGUGAGUAACACGUGAGUAACCUGCCCCAGACUUUGGGAUAACAGUUGGAAACGAUUGCUAAUACUGGAUAUGAGCUGGUGGGGCGUGGUGGUGGUUUGAAAGUUCCGGCGGGGGGGGAUGGGCUCGCGGCCUAUCAGCUUGUUGGUGAGGUGAUGGCUUACCAAGGCUUCGACGGGUAGCCGGCCUGAGAGGGCGACCGGCCACAUUGGGACUGAGAUACGGCCCAAACUCCUACGGGAGGCAGCAGUGGGGAAUAUUGCACUUUUUUUGGAAGUCUGAUGCAACCACUCCGGGGGGGGGGGGGGGGACAUCCGCUUGUCAACCACUUUCAUCCAUAACCAAACUUUUGUGACGGUGGGGGGGGGAGAAGCACCGGCUAACUACGUGCCCGCAGCCGCGNUGAUACGUAGGGUGCGAGCGUGUCCNGGAUUAUUGGGCGUAAAGAGCUGUAGGGCGGUUUGUCGCGUCGGGAGUGAAAACUCGGAGCUUAACUUUGAGCUUGCUUUCGAUACGGGCUGACUUGAGGGAGGUAGGGGAGAAUGGAAUUCCUGGUGGAGCGGUGGAAUGCGCAGAUAUCAGGAGGAACACCGGUGGCGAAGGCGGUUCUCUGGACCUUUCCUGACGCUGAGAAGCGAAAGCGUGGGGAGCGAACAGGCUUAGAUACCCUGGUAGUCCACGCCGUAAACGGUGGGUACUAGGUGUGGGGGACAUUCCACGUUCUCCGUGCCGUAGCUAACGCAUUAAGUACCCCGCCUGGGGAGUACGGCCGCAAGGCUAAAACUCAAAGGAAUUGACGGGGCCCCGCACAAGCGGCGGAGCAUGCGGAUUAAUUCGAUGCAACGCGAAGAACCUUACCUGGGUUUGACAUAUGCCGGGAGCGUUCAGAGAUGGGCGUGCCUUUUUGGUCGGUUUACGGGUGGUGCAUGGCUGUCGUCAGCUCGUGUCGUGAGAUGUUGGGUUAAGUCCCGCAACGAGCGCAACCCUCGUCCAAUGUUGCCAGCGGGUUAUGCCGGGGACUCAUUGGAGACCGCCGGGGUCAACUCGGAGGAAGGUGGGGAUGACGUCAAGUCAUCAUGCCCCUUAUGUCCAGGGCUUCACGCAUGCUACAAUGGCCGGUACAAAGAGCUGCGAGCCUGUGAGGGUGAGCGAAUCUCGGAAAGCCGGUCUCAGUUCGGAUUGGGGUCUGCAACUCGACCCCAUGAAGUCGGAGUCGCUAGUAAUCGCAGAUCAGCAACGCUGCGGUGAAUACGUUCCCGGGGCUUGUACACACCGCCCGUC